AGUGAACGCUGGCGGUAGGCCUAACACAUGCAAGUCGAACGGCAGCACAGUAAGAGCUUGCUCUUACGGGUGGCGAGUGGCGGACGGGUGAGGAAUACAUCGGAAUCUACUUUUUCGUGGGGGAUAACGUAGGGAAACUUACGCUAAUACCGCAUACGACCUACGGGUGAAAGCAGGGGAUCUUCGGACCUUGCGCGAUUGAAUGAGCCGAUGUCGGAUUAGCUAGUUGGCGGGUUAAAGGCCCACCAAGGCGACGAUCCGUAGCUGGUCUGAGAGGAUGAUCAGCCACACUGGAACUGAGACACGGUCCAGACGCCUACGGGAGGCAGCAGUGGGGAAUAUUGGACAAUGGGCGCAAGCCUGAUCCAGCCAUACCGCGUGGGUGAAGAAGGCCUUCGGGUUGUAAAGCCCUUUUGUUGGGAAAGAAAAGCAGCAGGUUAAUACCCCGCUGUUCUGACGGUACCCAAAGAAUAAGCACCGGCUAACUUCGUG
rnacentral:rRNA from 1 species